GAUGAACGCUGGCGGCGUGCUUAACACAUGCAAGUCGAACGGAAAGGCUCCUGCUUGCAGGGGUACUCGAGUGGCGAACGGGUGAGUAACACGUGGGUGAUCUGCCCUGCACUUCGGGAUAAGCCUGGGAAACUGGGUCUAAUACCGGAUAGGACGAUGGUUUGGAUGCCAUUGUGGAAAGUUUUUCGGUGUGGGAUGAGCUCGCGGCCUAUCAGCUUGUUGGUGGGGUAAUGGCCUACCAAGGCGUCGACGGGUAGCCGGCCUGAGAGGGUGUACGGCCACAUUGGGACUGAGAUACGGCCCAGACGCCUACGGGAGGCAGCAGUGGGGAAUAUUGCACAAUGGGCGCAAGCCGGAUGCAGCGACGCCGCGUGGGGGAUGACGGCCUUCGGGUUGUAAACUCCUUUCGCUAGGGACGAAGCGCAAGGGACGGUACCUGGAGAAGAAGCACCGGCUAACUACGU
rnacentral:rRNA from 1 species